CAUAACGUGAAAUUUUUACUAUAAAGUGUUUAAACAAAUUUUUAUUUACUACAUGUAAAGGGAGAAAAAUAUGGCUCAAAACUCCAAGUUUAUUUAUGUUUUGAUAAUCUUUCUUUUUCUAUUUCUUGCUCUAACCAGCGGCCAUCCGGAAUGUAGACAUGACAAUGAUUGUCCAAGAAAUAUGUGUCUAUCUAUUUUAUAUCCGAAGUGCAUUAAUUUAUUUUGUGAGUGUGUGCAAGUGUAACCAUUAACAUGAAAAAUAAUUGGUUUAGUUGUACUUUUGAUUUCUUCAUUUUCACCAUUUUGUAGAAUUAGUCCAUCUAUUUUAAAAUCCGAUAGUUUUGAUCCCUCGAUCAAAUAUUUGGCUUAAAAUAUGGUGAUGUAAUAAGUUUUAAGUGAAUUUUUUAAGGGAUUUGCCUACAAUUCAUUGAUGUUA